GUGCUGAAUCUUGAUAAUUCUAUCAAGUUACAAAUGCGAUAAUUCUAUCGCUAUGCUUUACAAUUAGUGAUAAUUUUAUCACGUCUUGAUCAGUGCUGAAUCUUGAUAAUUCUAUCAAGUUAUAAAUGCGAUAAUUCUAUCGCUAUGCUUCACUAGGGAUAGUGAAUUAAUUAGUGAUAUUGCAAUGGUUUCUUGAUACAUUGUGUAGCUAUAUUUCACUAGUGCACUGUAAUUAUACAGAUUGUUUUAAGAUUUAAACAAUAAUUGGUAUAAAGAACUACCCUAGAGUCAGGUCUAAUGGGUAAUUUUAUCCUAUUGCCUGAUAUGGACUAAUAUUUGGAUGAGUAAAUCAACAAUAAUUUUGCCACAUUAAUCAAAAGCUGAUAAUUUUAUCAGUCAUAGAUAGGUUGAAUUCUUGACAUGAUUUGUAUAAAUUAGGCAUACAUGCUAACAUCCAUUUACAGAGAUGAGUACCGGUAAUAGGCCUACAGACUAUGGGGUGGUUACAAAGCCAGUUAAUUUACAACAAGAGGAAGUCGCAAGUGACACUCCAACAAGCAACAAUCAUUCAAGCCAAUUAGAAGAUGGCAAUUUUACCAAGUAAUUCAGGAAAGAGGACAUUGGCUUAGAAAAACAUUUUCAACCAUGAUGACAGGAGCAUCUGGUUGUAUCAAGAAGUAGUAAAGUUUUGACGUAAUUAUGCAUCUAACAAAGUGUGUGUACAAUGCAUAAUAAUAUGGUAUUGUUUACAAGAGUUGAAAUACUUUUUUUGUAUGUUGGUAAUGUGUUAUUUUUCAUUGUUUGUAUCCGGUUUGUAUGAAUUUUAGGGAUACUUCUAUUGUAGUAAGAUUAAGACUCGCACUAGGGUUGGGUGGGGAUUACUGCUGAUGACAGUUCAGAUCUGCCUGUCAUUGGCAGUAAGUGGCAUUUUUACCUUACCCCACCUUUGAUGUAAAAAUUUUAUACAGUAAUGUUUUGAUCUAUUUCGAAGUUGCAUGUAGUGAUAUUGGUAUCACUGCAAGGUUUAUAAAUGUAAAUCUAUCAAACUACAUUUUCAUUUUUGUAAUAGUUUUACAAAAUUGUCAUUUGGUAAUAAAUGACCUUUUUCAACUUCAAACGGUGUUGUGUUGGUAUCAGAUAGUAUAAUAUUACAUCAAACAGAGCAACCUUUAGUGCGAGUAUCAGGAAGAUGGGCAUAAAUGCUAUUUAUGUUCAUAAAUAAUUUUAUGCCCAUUUCUUGUGUAUUGAAAGUGGGACAAGCGAGAUAACUCUAAUACUUUUGUUCGGUCUUGUUUUUGGAACAGCCUCAGUAUAUGAUUGAGUACAAUCAGUGGCAGCGCCAUAUUUGUAUGGAAAUACAAUUUUAUUUUUGAACAACCCUCCCACCUCUCCCUAAUAGUUAAAAAAUUAUAGUGUUCUUAAUUGAUGUGAAUAAUUUGACAAUAUUUUUCCAUAUUUCUUUUUUCAGUAGGUAAGGCAUUUUUACCUUACCCCACCUUUGAUGUAAAAAUUUUAUACAGUAAUGUUUUGAUCUAUUUCGAAGUUGCAUGUAGUGAUAUUGGUAUCACUGCAAGGUUUAUAAAUGUAAAUCUAUCAAACUACAUUUUCAUUUUUGUAAUAGUUUUACAAAAUUGUCAUUUGGUAAUAAAUGACCUUUUUCAACUUCAAA